GGUUAAGUGACUAAGCGUACACGGUGGAUGCCUUGGCAGUCAGAGGCGAUGAAAGACGUAGUAACUUGCGAUAAGCCCAGAUUAGGUAGUAACAACCAUUUGAGUCUGGGAUUUCUGAAUGGGGAAACCCACUUACAUAAGUAAGUAUCAUUAACUGAAUACAUAGGUUAAUGAGGCGAACCGGGGAACUGAAACAUCUAAGUACCCCGAGGAAAAGAAAUCAACCGAGAUUCCGAAAGUAGCGGCGAGCGAAAUUGGACUAGCCCUUAAGCUUUACACGCGUUAGACGAACGGUCUGGAAAGUCCGACGAUACAGGGUGAUAGUCCCGUAGUUGACGACGUGUGUUCAGUGAAAUCGAGUAGGGCGGGACACGUGAUAUCCUGUCUGAAUAUGGGGGACCAUCCUCCAAGGCUAAAUACUACUGACUGACCGAUAGUGAACCAGUACCGUGAGGGAAAGGCGAAAAGAACCCCUGUGAGGGGAGUGAAAUAGAACCUGAAACCGUGUACGUACAAGCAGUAGGAGCAGGCUUUGUCCUGUGACUGCGUACCUUUUGUAUAAUGGGUCAGCGACUUAUAUUCAGUGGCAAGGUUAACCAUCUAGGGGAGCCGUAGGGAAACCGAGUCUUAACUGGGCGUUCAGUCUCUGGAUAUAGACCCGAAACCAGGUGAUCUAGCCAUGGGCAGGUUGAAGGUUGAGUAACAUCAACUGGAGGACCGAACCGACUAAUGUUGAAAAAUUAGCGGAUGACUUGUGGCUAGGGGUGAAAGGCCAAUCAAACCUGGAGAUAGCUGGUUCUCCCCGAAAGCUAUUUAGGUAGCGCCUCGGACGAAUACUACUGGGGGUAGAGCACUGUUAAGGCUAGGGGGUCAUCCCGACUUACCAACCCUUUGCAAACUCCGAAUACCAGUAAGUACUAUCCGGGAGACACACGGCGGGUGCUAACGUCCGUCGUGGAGAGGGAAACAACCCAGACCGCCAGCUAAGGUCCCAAAUUACUACUAAGUGGGAAACGAUGUGGGAAGGCUCAGACAGCCAGGAUGUUGGCUUAGAAGCAGCCAUCAUUUAAAGAAAGCGUAAUAGCUCACUGGUCGAGUCGGCCUGCGCGGAAGAUGUAACGGGGCUAAGUAGUAAACCGAAGCUGCGGCAAUGUGCUUUUGCACAUUGGGUAGGGGAGCGUUCUGUAAGCGGUUGAAGGUGUGUGGUAACGCAUGCUGGACGUAUCAGAAGUGCGAAUGCUGACAUGAGUAACGAUAAAGGGGGUGAAAAACCUCCUCGCCGGAAGACCAAGGGUUCCUGUCCAACGUUAAUCGGGGCAGGGUAAGUCGACCCCUAAGGCGAGGCCGAAAGGCGUAGUCGAUGGGAAACGGGUUAAUAUUCCCGUACUUCUUACAAUUGCGAUGGGGGACGGAGAAGGCUAGGUGGGCCUGGCGACGGUUGUCCAGGUUCAAGUGCGUAGGCUUAAGAGUUAGGUAAAUCCGGCUCUUUCUAAGGCUGAGACACGACGUCGAGCACCUACGGGUGUGAAGUCAUUGAUGCCAUGCUUCCAGGAAAAGCCUCUAAGCUUCAGAUUGUAAGGAAUCGUACCCCAAACCGACACAGGUGGUCGGGUAGAGAAUACCAAGGCGCUUGAGAGAACUCGGGUGAAGGAACUAGGCAAAAUGGUACCGUAACUUCGGGAGAAGGUACGCUCUUGAUGGUGAAGUCCCUUGCGGAUGGAGCUGACGAGAGUCGCAGAUACCAGGUGGCUGCAACUGUUUAUUAAAAACACAGCACUGUGCAAAAUCGUAAGAUGACGUAUACGGUGUGACGCCUGCCCGGUGCCGGAAGGUUAAUUGAUGGGGUUAGACUUCGGUCGAAGCUCUUGAUCGAAGCCCCGGUAAACGGCGGCCGUAACUAUAACGGUCCUAAGGUAGCGAAAUUCCUUGUCGGGUAAGUUCCGACCUGCACGAAUGGCGUAAUGAUGGCCACGCUGUCUCCACCCGAGACUCAGUGAAAUUGAAAUCGCUGUGAAGAUGCAGUGUACCCGCGGCUAGACGGAAAGACCCCGUGAACCUUUACUACAGCUUGGCACUGAACAUUGACCCUACAUGUGUAGGAUAGGUGGGAGGCUUUGAAGCACGUACGCCAGUAUGUGUGGAGCCGUCCUUGAAAUACCACCCUUGUAGUGUUGAUGUUCUAACGUCGACCCCUAAUCGGGGUUGCGGACAGUGCCUGGUGGGUAGUUUGACUGGGGCGGUCUCCUCCCAAAGAGUAACGGAGGAGCACGAAGGUGGGCUAAUCACGGUUGGACAUCGUGAGGUUAGUGCAAUGGCAUAAGCCCGCUUGACUGCGAGAAUGACAAUUCGAGCAGGUGCGAAAGCAGGUCAUAGUGAUCCGGUGGUUCUGAAUGGAAGGGCCAUCGCUCAACGGAUAAAAGGUACUCCGGGGAUAACAGGCUGAUACCGCCCAAGAGUUCAUAUCGACGGCGGUGUUUGGCACCUCGAUGUCGGCUCAUCACAUCCUGGGGCUGAAGUCGGUCCCAAGGGUAUGGCUGUUCGCCAUUUAAAGUGGUACGCGAGCUGGGUUUAGAACGUCGUGAGACAGUUCGGUCCCUAUCUGCCGUGGGCGUUGGAAGAUUGAAGGGGCUGCUCCUAGUACGAGAGGACCGGAGUGGACGAACCUCUGGUGUUCGGGUUGUGUCGCCAGACGCAUUGCCCGGUAGCUAAGUUCGGAAUCGAUAACCGCUGAAAGCAUCUAAGCGGGAAGCGAGCCCUGAGAUGAGUCUUCCCUGAUACUUUAAGUAUCCUAAAGGGUUGUCGGAGACUACGACGUUGAUAGGUCAGGUGUGUAAGUGCUGUGAGGCAUUGAGCUAACUGAUACUAAUUGCCCGUGAGGCUUAACCAU
rnacentral:rRNA from 1 species